GACACUUGUGCAAUAGACGAGGGAAGUAGAGAGCUGGGGAGGCAGAGACAAAGUGAGAGACUUCUGAAGCGGCUGCAAUUUGUGGAGCAGAGGACCCCAGAAGAGGGAGCUGCACAACGUCAGAAGCCCAGACGUCUGCCUGGGACUCACCAUGGGGCCAGGUCCAUGGGCUGGGCUACAGAAACACGGGACAAGACUGCGCAAGGCCUAGCAGGAAUUGUCAGCCGCAGAGCUAAGAGCUAAACUACAAUCAUACAUUGUAGCCCAGCCAGAGUUGAGAGAGCUCGCUGACCAUCUCAGAUCCAUCCGUGGAACUUCCGCAAAAUUUCUGAGCCAGAGUUCUGGAGCUGGGGCUGGGAACAAUGGCAAGCUUCUCUCUGAGCGACACCCCUGCUAUAGGAGCUGAGUACGCAGUGAAGUGGAGGGGAGGCAGCAGCCUGAGAUCCUCUCAUCUUGCCUUUCCUGGCAUGGAGCCCUCACUUCGAAGCUGUGGCAAGGACUACUGGGCCCCAGUCUUCUCAGCGUGCUGUGCCUAAGGCCCUGGAUUGCUCUUAAUUCACAUAAUAGCCCCUGCUUCCCAAGUUAGCAUUACGUCAUUAAUACAUCAUUGACACAGCGGUACCAUAGACAGCCACACAUGUUCCUUUAUUAACAGAAUAUCUCAGUUCAUUCUUUUUCUGCCUAUUGAUGAGGGCUCGGUGAGUCAAGGAGUUGAAAGAAAGAUUUCUUGGACUCUCAAGGUCUGGCAGUAGUGCUCCUUUAUUCAGAGAAUAGCAUGGAAUAGCCUGGGGACAGGACCCAUGGGCAGUAAGAGCUGCUAUGUGUUGAGGGUUAGAGUUAAACUUAUAGGGCAUAGGCAUGUGAGUUAUUUCUUUACAAGACAAAGGAAAGAUCAUGGAAAAAAUCAUUAAAAUGAUAUCAGUGCAGGUGGGGUCUGGUUAUCGAGGGGUCCUAUAACUUUAGGUAAGAAUCAGAUCGGAUUAAGUCAGGAUGUCCUAUGCUUCCUGGAGGAUGGUGUAGAUCAGUAUGCAGGACAGGACGCCUUGGACUUCUCUCCCUGGGCAGUCUUGAUCCUCAUCACCUACUGCCAUCAGGAUGUCCACAUUUAUAAAUUUUUCCCUCCUAACAAUCAAAAAUUCUUCAGUUAAGUUACUGUUAAGUUGGGAGAAGUUGGCCUUCCUGCCUCUUUCCUUUGGAAAGUAUGAAAUAAUCGUAACUUCACUGACAUGCAGGACUCUUUCUUACCAGAAUGAAGGAUCACCUUCCUCCAAGGCUGUAUUUUGCUCAUCCAUUCUUGGAAGGCAGGACUUUCUGAGAUUUAGUAUAAUCAAAACAAUUUAACAUUUUGAAGGGUAGCAGAAUAUGCCACCCCAAAAUAUGCCUCUUUGGCAUAGGGAUUAUUUUGAACUGAUCAUUUUUAAGAAACUGCAGACACAGGAGAAGCUCUGAAAACAGAAGAGAAAUUACCCUUUUGUAAGAGAAAUCUACAUUUAUAAAGGAAAUUUACAUUAGAAAGAGUCCCGUGCCAGGAAGAGAGCUUUUACUAGACAUCACUUUUUCACGUGGGAGACUUAUCUGCAUGGCAGGCAAGCUUUGCUUUCCAAACAUGUCCUUUUCUCCACUUCCCUUGAGUUGCCUCCCUGUCUUUGAAGCCCCAGACUCCUAGGCCUUUCCUUAGCCCGGAAUGGUACAUAAGCCUCAAUCCCCUGCCUGCCUUUUGAGUCUCACAUCUUUGAGGGGCUCCUGUAAGUAAAUAAUUAAAAUUAAUGGGUUUUUUCCUGUUAAUCUAUCUCCUUUCUCCAGGCGACUAAACUUAGGCUCACCCUCAGCCUGAGCCAGUAUUCAGCCCCUCAUAAGAACAAACUGGCCUCAGGGUAAAUAAAAUAUUCUCUGAUCUUCUACUUGAACGUGCCACCCACUCACCCCAUUUCCCCACGCCAGGUUCUUUCUAGCUUUGUUUACUCUUCUCUUUUUGCCUAACUCUCAAGUUGCUUGCAGACCUUGUGGUCAAAGUCUUCUCCCUAUUGUGACAAUCUCCCUUCCCCAUUUGCAAUAGUCCCUUUCCCUCCCUUGCAAUAAUCCUUUUGAAUACAGUCUCUCCUUCACUAAAUCCAGAUUUGAUUUUUAUUCCUGUCUCAUGGGUAAUCUCUCUUGGUAGUGCCUACCUUGUGACAUCCUGAACCUAAGGGUUUUAUAUUUUAUGGUUAGCCUUGUGUUAAUGCUCAGGAUAAAGUAAUGAAAUACCACAUGGAGCACAGGCUUGCUGUCCCAUUUGAGGUCGUCAUAGACUAGCUGGCCUCCAGCCAACCCAUCAGACACACGAGAGAGUCCAAGUGAGACCUGAAGAACUUCCCAGUGGAGCUCACUGGAAACUGCCAAACUUAGAGUCGUGAACUCAAUAAGUAGCGUUGUUUUAAGCCUCUAAGUUUAUGAGUAUUUGUUAUGCAACAGUAGGUUGAUGAUACAGCAACUGAACACAUGAACGAAAGAAUGAACACAAGUGAAUGAACAAAUGAAUAAAUAAUGCCCAUCUGGAGAUUGUGUUCCUUCUCAGGCAGAAAGAAGAUUCCACCUAGUAGCAAGAUGGUACCAACAUGGUGGCAACGGUUUCAGUCCCAUCACCUCUUUGGCUUUAGAUCCAAAGAAGAAAAAACAAGCCUUCCUCCCAGAUCUCCCAGUAAAAGCUCCUCUUUCUUGAGUAAUCUGUCUAUUCCUGAACCAAUCAUUUUGGUUGGAGGGGUGGGGAAGACACUAAGAACGUGACUCAUUGAUUAGUUUAAAUCUGGAUUAUUUGUUAAACUGGCUGGAGUUUUGGAGUUUGGGCUCUCUCCAGAACCACAUGGACUGAAAAUGAGAAAGGGCACAGAUCCCCACAUAUCACCAGAAGUCGGGCAAAUAGACGGUGGUAUUCAAAACACAAUCAUUGAGAGGAGGAUUGGCAGCAGAUGUUAGCUCAGGGAUAAUCUUCCUAAAAAAAAAAAAAAACCACAAUCACUGUGGAUUAUAGAGGGCCUAGGAUUUGUCAUUCGUAUUCACUGCAGAAAUUUACCCAGUUUUUGGUUUGACUUUUUAUGUUGGCGUUUGUCUUUUGACAUGUGGGAGUUAAAUUUUUGUUGUUCUUGUUAAAUAUAUCCAUUUUUUUCUCAUUGAUUAUUUCAGGACUUUUAGCCAAAUUCCCCAUAAUUCUUACCAUACCUUUGAUUAUGCUUUUUUUUUCUCAUGAGAAAAAAUGGAAAUGAACAGUGAGUCUUCAUAUUAUUCUCCAGAAAAUCCCACCAAGUACCCCAUUAAAACAAAGGGAAAGUAUAAUUUUGCACAGUUUCUAUGAAUAAAAUCUCUAUUGUAACAGCCUCGUUUUAAAGGUUUACUGUUACAAAUGGCUCCUGGCCACCUGUAUCAGUCUGCCAAGGCUGCUGUAACAAAAUGCCACAGACUGGGGGGUUUAAACAACAGAAAUUUACUUUCUCACAGUUCUGGAGGCUGGAAAUCUGAGACCAAGGUGCCGGCAGGGUUGAUUUCUCCUGCGACCUCUCUCCCUGUCUUGCAGAUGGCCACCUCCUUGCUGUGUCCACACACAGCCUCUCCCUGUGCAUGCCCCUGGUGUCUCUCUGUGUUCGAAUUUCCUCCUCCUAUAAGGACACCGUCAGAUUGGAUUAGAGCCCACCCUAAAGGCUCACUUUAGCUUAAUCAACUCUUUAAAGACCCUAUCUCCACAUGAAGUCACGUUCUGAGGGUCUAGGACUUAGGGUUUCAACAUAUGAAUUUGAGGGGAUAUAAUUUAGCCCAUAACACUACUUUUCUGACCCCAUUUCUUCUCUCUCUCUCCCUCCUGACGUGCUGCUCCCUGCUUCCCCCUGACACUGGCUUUCUGGCUUCAAAUACUGUGCAUUCCCCCUACUCAGGGCCUUUGCACAUGCCAUGACAAUCUCUGCCUAGAAUUUAUACUCUUUUGCUGUUCCCUUGGCCCACUUCCUCUCUUCAUUUAAGUCUCUGCUCAAAUAUUAGUCUCAGAGAUGGUUUUGACCAACUUAAUCAAAAUGGAAUUUCCAUCAGUCAACUUUGUUUCAUAGAACUUAUCUACUGACUUAAAUGUUAAUUAAUUUAUUUCUGAGCACAUAAAGCACAUAAAGAAGACAGCUUAACUACCAUAUCUCCAGAACUCAAGACAGUGGUUGACAUAUGGCAAGUGUCCAAAAAAUGUUUGUUGAAUGAAUGAAUGUUAAUCCUGAAGAAUAGAGAGAGACUCGCCCACUGCACCUUCUACAAAUGAGUAAGCAAUUCAUGAUUGGAUAUUAACUGCUAAUCAUAUCUGUCUCAGGAACUAAAAUUUACUAAAAAAGCACCAAGUGGAAAUAUUCGGUAGGAAAAGUAUAAUAAUUGAUAGGAUAAUAGCAGACAGAUGCAGCCAUAAAACAAAUUAGUGAGAUAAGACAGAGGAACUCUAGAGCCAGCCCUGAUGGUCUAAUGGUUAAAAUUCGGUGCUCUCACCUCUUUGGCAGCUCGGGUUCAUUUCCUGGUCAUGGAACCACAUCACCCAUCUGUCAGUAGCCAUGCUGUGGUGGCAGCUCACAUAGAAGAACUAGGACUUACAACUGGGAUAUACAACCAUGCACUGGUGCUUUGGGGAGGAAAAAGAGAUAGAGGAACUCUAUUAGAAGAAGAAGAAUAUAGAUAUAAAAAUUAUAUAUAUAAUAAAUAAAUAUAUAAAAUAAAUAUAAAAGGGAAGCUAGAAGUAGGGAGGAUAGAAAUAAAAAUGCCAAAUCCAAUGAAUUGAAAUCUCAGAAGGAAAGAAAAAAGAAGAGAUAUAUGAUGAAAUAUAUGAUGAUUAAUUUCCCAGAAUUAAAGAAAGAUAAAAUAACUCAGAUUGAAAAGGCCCAGAGGCUGGCCCCGUGGCCGAGUGGUUAAGUUCGUGUGCUCUGCUGCAGGUGGCCCAGUGUUUCGUUGGUUCGAAUCCUGGGCACGGACAUGGCACUGCUCAUUAAACCACGCUGAGGAAGCGUCCCACAUGCCACAACUAGAAGGACCCACAACGAAGAAUAUACAACUAUGUACCGGGGGGCUUUGGGGAGAAAAAGGAAAAAAUAAAAUCACAAAAAAAAAAAAGAAAAGAAAAGGCCCAGGGGCUGGCCUCCUGGCAUAGUGGUUAAGUUCAUGCACUCUGCCUCAGCAGCCCAGGGUUUGUGGGUUUGGAUGCUGGGCGCAGAUCUACACACCACUCAUCAAGCCAUGUCGUGGUGGUGACCCACAUAUAAAGUGGAGGAAGACUGGCACAGAUGUUAGCUCAGGGCUAAUCUUCCUCAGUAAAAAAAAAAAAGAAAGAAAGAAAAGAAAAGUCCCGUAGAGUGGUAAGUAAAAGAGACAAGAAAACAGGAUCUGAUCUCAAGUUUAAAUACUAAAAGAGGGUGAGGGAUAGAGGCGGGGAAUGACACACACACAAGCAGUUUUACCCCCAAAUCUGCAUCCUUAUUCACUAUGACCUAAAGGCAACAACAUACUUAGAAUGUCGUGAAAAAUGUUACAUUAG
rnacentral:lncRNA from 1 species